rnacentral:rRNA from 1 species
GACGAACGCUGGCGGCGUGCCUAAUACAUGCAAGUAGAACGCAGUUGCGAACGGGUGAGUAACGCGUAGGUAAAUGCCUCAACGAGGGGGAUAACUAUUGGGAACGAUAGCUAAUACCGCAUACAGUGAGAUGGACCUGCGUUGUAUUAGCGAGUUGGUGGGGUAAAGGAUCACCAAGGAGACGAUACAUAGCCGACCUGAGAGGGUGAUCGGCCACACUGGGACUGAGACACGGCCCAGACUCCUACGGGAGGCAGCAGUGGGGAAUCUUGGGCAAUGGACGAAAGUCUGACCGAGCAACGCCGCGUGAGUGAAGAAGGUUUUCGGAUCGUAAAGCUCUGUUGGUGGAGAAGCGGUAACUAACAAGAAAGAGACGGCUAACUACGUGCCAGCAGCCGGGUAAUAC